UUUUUAUUGGAUGAUAAUUGUCGCGUGUCAUGUUCUGAUUGAUCAAUCAAAACAACGAUGUAUUUAUUUUUUCAUAAAAUUAACAUCCAAUCAGAACAUGACAUGUGACAGUCAAGAAUA
rfam:Glycine soja cultivar W05 scaffold2261_41, whole genome shotgun sequence.